CGGACGGGUGAGUAACGCGUGGGUAACCUGCCUUGCACUGGGGGAUAACACUUAGAAAUAGGUGCUAAUACUGCAUAAGCGCACGGUCCUGCAUGGGACAGUGUGAAAAACUCCGGUGGUGCAAGAUGGACCCGCGUCUGAUUAGCUGGUUGGCGGGGUAAAGGCCCACCAAGGCGACGAUCAGUAGCCGGCCUGAGAGGGUGGACGGCCACAUUGGGACUGAGACACGGCCCAAACUCCUACGGGAGGCAGCAG
rnacentral:rRNA from 1 species